rnacentral:rRNA from 1 species
CCCUUAGAUGUCCGGGGCCGCACGCGCGCUACACUGUAGAUCGCAGCGAGUGUAGUUUCUGUCCCUCCCGUAGCCGGGUGGGUAAACCAUUGAAAGAUCGAACGUGGCUUGGGAUCGGGCCUUGAAAUUAUUGCCCGUGAACGAGGAAUUCCCAGUAAGCGCGAGUCAUAAGCUGGCGUUGAUUACGUCCCUGCCCUUUGUACACACCGCCCGUCGCUACUACCGAUUGGGUGUGCUGGUGAAAUGUUCGGAUCGGCCGUUUGUCGCGGUUUCCGCGGCUCGUGGCUGAGAAGUUCAUUAAACCCUCCCACCUAGAGGAAGGAGAAGUCGUAACA